rnacentral:rRNA from 1 species
GGAGGAAAGCAGGGGAUCGCAAGACCUUGCGCUUUUGGAGCGGCCGAUGUCUGAUUAGCUAGUUGGUGAGGUAAAGGCUUACCAAGGCGUCGAUCAGUAGCUGGUCUGAGAGGACGACCAGCCACACUGGGACUGAGACACGGCCCAGACUCCUACGGGAGGCAGCAGUGGGGAAUUUUGGACAAUGGGGGGAAACCCUGAUCCAGCCAUGCCGCGUGAGUGAAGAAGGCCUUCGGGUUGUAAAGCUCUUUCAGCCGGAACGAAACGGUCACGGUUAAUACCUGUGACUACUGACGGUACCGGAAGAAGAAGCACCGGCUAACUACGUGCCAGCAGCCGCGGUAAUACGUAGGGUACGAGCGUUAAUCGGAAUUACUGGGCGUAAAGCGUGCGCAGGCGGUUUUGUAAGUCAGAUGUGAAAUCCCCGGGCUUAACCUGGGAACUGCGUUUGAAACUACAAAGCUAG